rnacentral:rRNA from 2 species
UCUACAGGGGGAGCAGUAGGGAAUCUUCCGCAAUGGACGAAAGUCUGACGGAGCAACGCCGCGUGAGUGAAGAAGGUUUUCGGAUCGUAAAACUCUGUUGUUAGGGAAGAACAAGUGCCGUUCGAAUAGGGCGGCGCCUUGACGGUACCUAACCAGAAAGCCACGGCUAACUACGUGCCAGCAGCCGCGGUAAUACGUAGGUGGCAAGCGUUGUCCGGAAUUAUUGGGCGUAAAGCGCGCGCAGGUGGUUUCUUAAGUCUGAUGUGAAAGCCCACGGCUCAACCGUGGAGGGUCAUUGGAAACUGGGGAACUUGAGUGCAGAAGAGGAAAGUGGAAUUCCAAGUGUAGCGGUGAAAUGCGUAGAUAUUUGGAGGAACACCAGUGGCGAAGGCGACUUUCUGGUCUGUAACUGACACUGAGGCGCGAAAGCGUGGGGAGCAAACAGGAUUAGAUACCCUGGUAGUCCACGCCGUAAACGAUGAGUGCUAAGUGUUAGAGGGUUUCCGCCCUUUAGUGCUGCAGCUAACGCAUUAAGCACUCCGACACUGGA